UAUUCCGGAGGAAGAGAUGUGCAGCUAUCACAGGCCCUCUGUGGCAGUCAGUGAACACUCGCCAGCACCCUGCAGCAGUGAGGGCGACUUGGGAGAAGGUAAAGCCAAGUUGCUGCUGCGAAUGGUGCCCUCUGGGGUUGUGCAGUGCAGGCCUGCAGCAGUGUACGUGGUGGCUCUGAACCCGAGCCUGAAAGGGCACGACUGCUCAAACACAGCACAGGAGGACAUUCACGCUCUUGAGACAGCAGGCUGCCCCUCCGUGCCCUGGCCUGGGCUUCUUGCUCUUGGACGUCGCCUGGUGUGGGGCCCCCUAGCAAUCUGACCCUCAGGCUUGGUGUUCCGCUCAGCCGAUCCCUGGCCCAGAGCCAAGGGUGCCAGGUUGGGGGCAGAAGGCCUGGCACAAGUCAGUUCUGCCACUCGUGGCUGUGCGAGCCCCAACAGGUCCCUCUGCCGGGCGGGGCCGACCCACCUUCCCCAGGAGGGCCGGCGGGUGGUACAGUGGCGCACGCUCCCUGGAGCGGCAGUGCCUUGUCUGGGAGACAGCGGGUCAGCGUCUGUGCAGGUCCAGGGCCGCUGAAGCCCUGGGCGAGGACAGGUGUGGGGGUCAGAGCCGGCGGGGCAGCCACACUGGCUCUGGUGUCUGGCUGGCCAGGCGCUGUGUGGCUGCACUUGCCGUGCACACUGGGUCUGAGGGUGCAGGGUCCUUGGGGGGAGAGGACGCUCCUGCACUUGGCUCUCUCGGAUCUGUGUUGAAACCCUACCACGCGCAUGCGCCGCCUUCCCGGCGCCUCCCAGUCCACGCCGGCCCCGCUGCCCUGCGCCGGCCGCUCUCCUCCUGUCGCUGUCCCAGCCAGCGGCGUCCUCGGAGGUGGCCAGCAUUCGCCCUGGUGCCCAGGCCGCACGUCUCCCAGAGCCCUGGCUCCUUCUGCACGGAGUCCCUCUGUCCUGGCUCUGGGACCCUCGUCCCUGCCUCCUUUACUGGCCCUGUGUUUUCAGUGCCCCGCCCCUCCCGGAGCCCCUAGGCCCGCACCCGCUGCCCGACUGCCCUGCUACCUGCACCCCAGGUCCCUCUCCUGGCUGUGAGCUCACUGGCCCAGCCACCUGUCACCCCGUCCCGCGUCUCCAGUGCAGAGUCCCCAGCUGGGCCCCCAGCGCCCCCUCCCAGUUGCCCAGACCCGGUCCUGCAGAUCAGCGGCCCGAGCGCCCUAACCACUGCUCUUGGGGACACAGGGACGCGGGUGCGACUUGGGGGAGGGGCCGCAGGGGCCCCAUAAAUCCCCAGGAGGGGAUGUAAUUGGCAGAAGACACAGCAGGACCGACGCUGGGCCACCCGAGUCUGCUCUGCUCACUCUGAGCACUGUGUUCACCGCCAACCUCUGCUGGACCCGCAGCACCCUGGGGAGUCUCCGGGGACGCUGGCCACUCUGGCUGGAGCCCCCAAGGUGCACCAGGAAACCCGGGCCACCUCCUCCAGCGCAGCCCGCUUCUCUCGCCACACUCUCCCCUCACCAAGCCUCAGAAGCCUUCCGUUCCCAGAGUCAAUGGCCCUCCCCUGGGAAGUCCCCCUAGAAGCCCUUAGCAGGGCUGGUCUGGGCUGGAGCUGACCAGUGAGACUGAUCACAGAGCUCUGAGCCACGGAGGGAGAAGGGGCCACUGCUCCAUGAGGCUUCACUGGAGGGCGCAGAUGUGGACAGAGCCACCUCUGAGGGCCCCAGCAGGCUGGCUCCUGGAGCUUCUUGGUAGCCUCUGGUGAGCUCAUGGGGGCCACCAUGGUCUCACCUCCUCAGGGGGCCCACGGGACCUGGGCCUCUGGUUCCCACAUUGGAUCCCCCAUGGUGGAAUCACAGAGUGCUGUGCCGGUCAGCUCCGUGUGACUGUGACACCCAGGUCAGCUCCGUGACUGUGACUCGCAGGUCAGCUCUGUGUCUGUGACUUGCAGGUCAGCUCCGUGAAUGUGACACCCAGGUCAGCUCUGUGUCUGUGACACGCAGGUCAGCUCUGUGUCUGUGACGUGCAGGUCAGCUCUGUGUCUGUGACUCACAGGUCAGCUCUGUGUGACUGUGACACAGAAGUCAGCUACAUGUCUGUGACUCGCAGGUCAACUUUGUGUCUGUGACUUGCAGGUCAGCUCCGUGAAUGUGACACCCAGGUCAGCUCUGUGUCUGUGACACCCAGGUCAGCUCCGUGUCUGUGAUUCGCAGGUCAGCUCUGUGUCUAUGACUCGCAGGUCAGCUCCGUGACUGUGACACGCAGGUGAGCCCCGUGCAAUUGUGACAAAUGCCUGGGAGAUGCAACUAUGAAAAAGAGCUUGGUUUUGCCUCAAGGUUCAGAAGUUCCUGGCCCUGUUGGCUUUAGGCGCAUGGUGGGAAAUCACAUCACCGCUGAAGUACAUGGCAACCUCACGUCUGAGAACUCAGGGAUGAAAGUUGGGGUGCAGGUGCCCUUUAAGGGGUCGGGCCUGGGAGCACGGUCCAGACCCAAACUGUGUGCAAGGGCUGCACACAUCUGUGUCAGCAGUGCGGACAUGCAUCUCCCUCAGCCUGUGAGUGCCACGUGGCCAUGGGAUGACCGUGUGGCCCCAUUUCGGAGAGGGGAGGACGGAACUGCACGCUGGUCGUGAGAAGGGCAGAGGCCCCUCAUUUCUGAGGGCGUUCCUCUGCCUCAGGAACUGGAAACAGAAGAGGGAGCAACCUGAAGGCACAAGCUUUGUGGGUGCUGUUUCCACGUCUCCUGCUGCCCUAUGUGGAGACGCCAGCCACUCGCCUCCAUCUUGGGUCUCGCUGACACCGCCAAGCCAUCACCACCACUUCCCAGCUGACGAGUUAUUUCUCACCCUUGUGUUUUACAAGUAUGGAGACAAAACUAUUGUCUAGGGUAUUAUUACACUUUCUAACUACUGAUAGAGUUAUGACAUUUGGUGGCGCAUUGGCAACCAGACAUACACAACAGGCAGCCACUUUUUAUUUAUCAUCUCCGGGCUUUGCAGUUACCAUAGCAAUAAAAUCCAUGCUUAACAGGAUGAUUACCAUUUUCAACAACUAAUGGAAUGAUUAUUUGUGUUUGUGGUUUCAAGCCUUAGAAUAAAAUGUAAUCCCAUCCAACAUA